rnacentral:misc_RNA from 1 species
UCCGGCUUAACGCCGGCAGUCUCCCUAGAGUGCCCAACUGAAUGGUGGCAACUAAGGACGAGGGUUGCGCUCGUUGCGGGACUUAACCCGACAUCUCACGACACGAGCUGACGACGACCAUGCAGCACCUGUGUUGGCUCCGGCCGAACCGAAGGCUCCGUCUCCAGAGCCGGCGAGCCACAAGUCAAGGGCUGGUAAGGUUCUUCGCGUUGCGUCGAACUGAACCACAUGCUCCACCGCUUGUGCGGGCCCCCGUCAAUUCCUUUGAGUUUCAACCUUGCGGCCGUACUCCCCAGGCGGGGUGCUUAACGCGUUAGCUGCGACACUGACGGGCAAGCCCGCCAACGUCUAGCACCCAUCGUUUACGGCGUGGACUAC